UACGUAGGUGGCAAGCGUUGUCCGGAUUUAUUGGGCGUAAAGAGCGUGUAGGCGGCUAGGUAGGUCCGUUGUGAAAACUCGAGGCUCAACCUCGAGACGCCGAUGGAAACCAUCUAGCUAGAGUCCGGAAGAGGAGAGUGGAAUUCCUGGUGUAGCGGUGAAAUGCGCAGAUAUCAGGAAGAACACCCGUGGCUAAGGCGGCUCUCUAGUACGGUACUGACGCUGAGACGCGAAAGCGUGGGGAGCAAACAGG
rnacentral:rRNA from 1 species